GGUAUCAAAUCCUGAAUACAUAGGGGUUUGAAGCGAACCCGGGGAACUGAAACAUCUAAGUACCCGGAGGAAAGGACAUCAACGAGACUCCGUCAGUAGUGGCGAGCGAACGCGGAUCAGGCCAGUGCCUGUGUGGAGUUUAUCGGAACGGUCUGGAAUGGCCGGCAAGAGUGGGUGACAGCCCCGUACGAGACGGACGACAUACAGGACUCGAGUAGGGCGGGACACGUGAAAUCCUGUCUGAACAUGGGGGGACCACCCUCCAAGCCUAAGUACUCCUCAGCGACCGAUAGCGAACAAGUACCGUGAGGGAAAGGUGAAAAGCACCCCGACGAGGGGAGUGAAACAGUUCCUGAAACCGGAUGCUUACAAACAGUGGGAGCUCAAGGUUCGUCCUGGGUGACCGCGUACCUUUUGUAUAAUGGGUCAGCGACUUAAAGUUACGAGCAAGCUUAAGCCGGUAGGUGUAGGCGCAGCGAAAGCGAGUCUGAACAGGGCGUUCAGUUCGUGGCUUUAGACCCGAAACCGAGUGAUCUAGCCAUGUGCAGGAUGAAGGUGGGGUAACACCCACUGGAGGUCCGAACCAGUGCCCGUUGAAAAGGUCUUGGAUGACGUGUGGCUAGGGGUGAAAGGCCAAUCAAACUCGGAAAUAGCUGGUUCUCCGCGAAAGCUAUUUAGGUAGCGCCUCGCGUGAAUACCCCAGGGGGUAGAGCACUGGAUGGGCUAGGGGGUCGCGAGAUCUACCAAACCUAACCAAACUCCGAAUACCAUCGAGUAAUAUCCGGGAGACAGACGGCGGGUGCUAAGGUCCGUCGUCAAAAGGGAAACAGCCCUAACCUACAGCUAAGGUCCCCAAGUCAUCACUAAGUGGGAAAGCAUGUGGGAAUCCCAAAACAACCAGGAGGUUGGCUUAGAAGCAGCCACCCUUUAAAGAGUGCGUAAUAGCUCACUGGUCAAGU
rnacentral:rRNA from 1 species